ACACUUUUACCAGUCCCGAAACAAAUUUACAAACGACAGAUUCGUCACGGAAAGGGAAUGUACCAUAUACCGGAAGUGACGAGCGUGGUCUUUUCGUGUUUUUGUUGUGGAGUUUAUGGCGUCAAAGAAGUUUAUGGUGACCGCCCGAACAUGGACUGCGGCCGAGGGAUGUUUUGCCCGUUUUGUGGCAAACACAUGAACAGCUUAACGCGGUUUUGCUUUACGUGUGGUCGGUGUUUGGAGUUUUUAAAGGACGCGGACCAGACGGAAACACCAGACAUACUGCAUCAUUGCGUUCAAUAUUUUAACGAGGGUCACUCGUACGCUGUAAUCGUGGACAUGAUGUCAAGUCUACACGGUGUAAACAUCAGCUUGAGGACUCAUAAAAGUAAACUGAACGAAGCCGGGUUGUACCGCAGAAAGGAUUAUUCCUCGCCAAACGCCGUGAGUAACGCCAUCAGAUUUGAACUUCGUGGACCUGGACAACUACUCAAUGGGACCUAACUAUAUGUGGCACGCAGAUGGUUAUGACAAACUUAAGCCAUUCGGUUUGGCCAUUUCGGGAUGCAUAGAUGGAUUUUCACGUAAAGUAUUGUGGCUUCAAUGUGGACCAACAAAUAAUAACCCAACAGUGAUUGCUCACUAUUUCAUGUCAUGUGUGCGAAACCUCGGUGUCAUCCCCAUGAGACUGAGGACUGAUUGCGGCACUGAGAACAGCAUAAUGGCUGCAAUUCAAUGUACCCUACGCCACCAUCACAGUGACUACUACUCUGGAGCGUCCAGCCACAUGUACGGCUCAUCUAUAAAUAACCAGCGUAUUGAGUCCUGGUGGUCUAUAUUUAGAAAGGGAAGGUCUCAGUUCUGGAUGGAGUUAUUUGCCGACCUUAGAGAUGCCGGAUACUUCAACGGGAGUCAUGAGCAUCAAUGCCUAUUGAGAUAUUGCUUUGGUGAUGUUAUUCAGAAGGACUUGGAUGAGUGUGUGAGACUGUGGAACAGCCACAGGAUUUCAGUUACAGAAGCCAGACAACUGGGAGUCUGCAUCCGAACUGUACAUGAAACUAAAAGAAAUGGCUCAGCUAUGAAAUGAUCAAAAAGGGAGGGUUUUUUGUAGUGGUGGAAUACUGCUGUCUGUCUGAACACAAUAUUUAUGAAUCUGUCACCCAAAGCUUAAUUGUUUUUAAGUGUGAAGUAAAUUAAUCAAAAAUAGUAAUCAGUAUUUAUUACACUUUUGUAGUAUUGAGAGUAAUGGAUCUAAAACAUUUUCAAAAUGUUUACUGUGAGAAAAGAACAUGCUCACAUACAGUAACAUUAUAAAAACAACUUUGGCAACUGCACUUUAAAAGUGCACCUUUAAUAGGGUUGGGCAUCAAGAACCAAUUCCUACUUGGAAUAGUUAAAAAUUACGAUUCCAUCGGAAUUGUUUCUUUAUUGGAAUCGUUUUGGAGGAUUGGGUUUCAAAUCUGAUCAUGGGUUCCAAAUUUAACAUGCGCAAGUUUUGGUUUCUGUAGCGGCCAGGUGCUUGUUGUGUUGCAGCCAUGGAGCACAGUAAGCGGUGCUCUAGUGUGGCUUUAUUUUACAUUGAAAAAGCCCCGUCAAACUGCAACCCACCUUUGAAUCAAAAUAAAACUUUCCUCUUAUUUGUGAAAUAAGCAUGUGACCCGUUUCAACUCCACCACUCAAAGAAUCGGAAUCGAGAAUCGAUAAGAACCGGAAUCAAAAGGAAGAAUCGGAAUUGGAAUCAGAAUCGUUAAAAUCUAAAUGAUGCCCAACCCUAACCUUUAACAACAACAACUUUUUCAGAGUCUUAACUCUAAGGGUCAUCCAUCAUAUAGCUUAGAAACAGCCGAAUCCUGGACUAUUUUGAAUUCCAAAGUCCAUUUGUGACUUAAACAAAGUGUAUGAGUCUAGGAGUGGUAAUCUCAAGGAGUUUGAACAUGUAUUUGCCAUUGGGAACGCAGAGUCCUCCAGGAACUCUAUUUGAGGCAGUGGUUCCAAGCCAGAUGGGGGAAGUGAAGACAGCCCAGUAGCAAACAUCAAAACAUCUUCCACAGACACAGCAGCCUGGCCUUCUGCAAAGAAAAACAAUUCAGAUACAUCACUGCCAUGUGUUUUCUUAACUAGUUAUAAAAAACAAACUAACAAACCUUCACAAUCAAGGAGAUAGUCUGCCCAGUAGGCCAUGGUUUGACUUUCUUUAAGUCUUCGAUUACUCCCCGAAGGACUGAGGUCAGGUUUGAAGAGUCUCUCAAGUUCAAAAGCAGUGAGUCGCCUUUCAGAGUGGCACAUGACAGGGGCCAGCAAAGUAGGGUGUUGCUGUAGUGCAGUCAAAAACUCCAGGGUUGAAAGACCAUCUGAAUCUACAGAGUGAACACAAACAUUGUUUCACUGCUGUGUAGUGCCAAUUGAAUUUAAAAUUAUCUAAAGAAAACUAUUAAAUAUUCUCUUCUCUACAA